rnacentral:tRNA from 1 species
GCGCAGGUGGUGAAACGGCAGACACGCUAGGUUCAGGAUCUAGUGGAGUAAUCCAUGCGGGUUCAAAUCCCGCCCUGCGCA